rnacentral:misc_RNA from 1 species
ACUUACUCUUCUGAUCAUUUAUAUAGCUCCAUCUAGUAACAGUCAUUGACUUCUACAACUUUAUAACCACUGCAACUAUUUGCUGACUAACCAAUAUUUCCCUUCAAUUCUCCCCUCUAACCAACUACUAUUUCUCUCUCAUUUCAAUCACCAACCUCCUUUUUCUACUUCUUGUCCAUCUCUUCCUCUUAUAGUGACACGUGCAUUUGGAGGCAGACAAGAUUAUAUGCAUCAAAGAGUAGGGCUGUGCACGGUUCUUG